rnacentral:rRNA from 1 species
AAACUUUCAACAAUGGAUCUCUUGGUUCCGGCAUCGAUGAAGAACGCAGCGAACUGCGAUAAGUAAUGUGAAUUGCAGAAUUCAGUGAAUCAUCGAGUCUUUGAACGCACAUUGCGCCCCCUGGCAUUCCGGGGGACAUGCCUGUCCGAGCGUCAUU